CUUCUUCUUCUUCUUCUUCUUUGCUGAUAUAUCUGCUAUGCUUCUCAUUAUGCAUCUUUUGACAGAUUCAUUUCUAUUACAAGGUAUUGUGUGUUUAACAGUAACCUAUAAAAGUGUUGUUAGGAUAACUUAAUUAAUUAAAAGAAUAAGGAAAACUUGAACUUCAAUAGUGUCGUGUAGUCAGUUUUCAUCAUCUAGCCAACUUCACAGCUUUGCCAUUCUUAUGAUAUAAAAGCACUCUCUCUUCUCCUCUAUUUUUUUUCCAUUUUUAAUGUAUUGCAGAAAAAUGAAAUAAUGUGUUUGAAACGCCUUGAUUACUUGUUUCUGUGGCAUAUAUACCCCAUUUGAGUGGCAAUUGCCUCUUUCAUUAUUAUGUGCAAAAUGGGAUGAUUCAGCAUGCUAUGAUUCAAACCCAUUUAAGGGUGCCUUGCUCCAUUCCGGAUCUCUGAGCCCCAACAGUACAGUAACAAACUGUGCAUGUGCAGUAAGAUCUUAUAUAAUGAUGAAUACC
rnacentral:misc_RNA from 1 species